rnacentral:rRNA from 1 species
UACGGAAGGCAGCAGUGGGGAAUAUUGCACAAUGGGCGCAAGCCUGAUGCAGCCAUGCCGCGUGUAUGAAAAAGGCCUUCGGGUUGUAAAGUACUUUCAGUCGUGAGGAAGGUGUUAAGGUUAAUAACCUUAGCAAUUGACGUUAGCGACAGAAGAAGCACCGGCUAACUCCGUGCCAGCAGCCGCGGUAAUACGGAGGGUGCGAGCGUUAAUCGGAAUUACUGGGCGUAAAGGGCACGCAGGCGGUUUAAUUAAGUUGGAUGUGAAAAUCCCCGGGCUUAACCUGGGAAUGGCAUUCAAGACUGGUUAGCUAGAGUCUUGUAGAGGGGGUAGAAUUCCAUGUGUAGCGGUGAAAUGCGUAGAGAUGUGGAGGAAUACCGGUGGCGAAGGCGGCCCCUGGACAAAAGACUGACGCUCAUGUGCGAAAGCGUGGGGAGCAAACAGGGAUUAGAUACC